rnacentral:rRNA from 1 species
UACGGGGGGAGCAAGCGUUGUUCGGAUUUACUGGGCGUAAAGGGCGCGUAGGCGGUCGUGACAAGUCACUUGUGAAAUCUCCGGGCUUAACUCGGAACGGUCAAGUGAUACUGUCGGACUAGAGUACAGAAGGGGCAACUGGAAUUCUCGGUGUAGCGGUGAAAUGCGUAGAUAUUGGGAGGAACACCAGUGGCGAAGGCGGCUCACUGGGCCGAUACUGACGCUGAGGAGCGAAAGCGUGGGGAGCGAACAGG